rnacentral:rRNA from 1 species
AAAAUCCUAGUAGUGAUUUACUUACGAAGGCUAUGACGGGUAUCCGGCCUGAGAGGGUGAACGGACACACUGGAACUGAGACACGGUCCAGACUCCUACGGGAGGCAGCAGUAGGGAAUAUUGCUCAAUGGGGGAAACCCUGAAGCAGCAACGCCGCGUGGAGGAUGAAGGUUUUAGGAUUGUAAACUCCUUUUGUUAGAGAAGAUAAUGACGGUAUCUAACGAAUAAGCACCGGCUAACUCCGUGCCAGCAGCCGCGGUAAUACGGAGGGUGCAAGCGUUACUCGGAAUCACUGGGCGUAAAGAGCGCGUAGGCGGGAUAGUCAGUCAGGUGUGAAAUCCUAUGGCUUAACCAUAGAACUGCAUUUGAAACUACUAUUCUAGAGUGUGGGAGAGUUGGGGGGGAAAUA